CCUUUUGGCGAGGGCGGUGAGGGGUUGUUUACUGGGUCUGCAAAGCCUCACUGUGGGUUGCAGCUGGGGGGUGGAUUUGGGACCAAAGUCUGCACCCACAACCCUGAACCUCUGGAUCCUGUGCAAAGGCAAGGUGUGUGGAAUAAACACCUGCUGUGCACCCAGCUGGACUCUACAGCACCUACUGUGUAUUCACACUCCUGCAGGAACCCGUGUUCUUAAAGAUGAAUAAUGCUCCGCCCCCCGUGCCGGGUCUUCUGGGGAUGAGCCACAGCCUGGAGGAGCUGAGGAGGCCACAUCACAUGAGGAAGCUUUACUGUUUCCCCUUCUCCUGAAAUGUGUCUGGGAUGGAGAGUGUGGAGAGUGGGCCCACCUUUAUCUGGGUCCACUCAGGCUGCUGCAGAGACUACCCCAGACUGGGUGGCUGAUAGACAAGACAUUCAUUUUCCACACUUCCUGAGACUGGGAAGUCUGAGAUGAAGAAACCUAGAAGCAAGGAAGCUGCCACCAUGAUGCAGCGGGGAGUCCGAGGCCCUGGGAGGUCAUAUGACUCAUUCAAGGUCAUCCUGCUGUGGCAGAGAUGCGAUGAAGCCCUGGCUUUUGGUAUUGGAGCCUGAUGGUCACCAAAGCAAUUCCUGAAUCUGGCCAUUAGACCCAUCACCAGGGAGGUGACUUUUCUCUCUGUACUGAACAAACAGUCCUGUUAGGGGCAGCCCAGGCUGGGUUAAUGGCUGAAGGGAAUGCCAGGACUGAGGUUUGGGGAUCGCAGUGUCCUUGGGAGCUAUGAAAUCUUGGCUGAGUCUGCCUGAAAAGAUGACAACCCGGUUACACUCCUGCCAUCUCUCCGGUCUGGGCAAAUAAGGGCCUUCUUGGCAGCCAACCUCGAAGCACCACAUCGGGCUUUGAAAUGUGCGGGGCCUUUGAGAUUCAGCGCAUCUGAAUCUGAAUUUAUGCCGUCUCACUUGCUGGAAUCUACUGAUCUGUCCACUGUUCCUGGAAGAAAUACUUUGUUUUCAUGUGCCAGUUGCCUUUCCAGCCUGACUGUCAGCCCAAGGUCGCAGGAGAAGAUCUGAUUGCAUGUCCUUGAUUUUGCUGCUCCCAUUCCGAGAACCAGCUUCCUCCUCUGGAAGGUCGACUGAGGGGGGCUUGACUGGACUUGGCUCAAGGCUGCAAGUGGUCCAUGUCUGCUCUGUGUGUCUUUCAUCCUCCCCAACCAGUUAGAAAAUGUGAUAUCCUCUUCUACGAUGAUGAUGGAAAUACAAAAUUGGUGAGUAGAAAUAUAUGAUGCGUCUUACGUCAGUGCUCAGCAUUGGCACUCUGUCAUUUCUGCCUACUUUUCAUCAGCCCAUGCAAGUCACAUGGCUAAACUGAACGUAAGUGGGAUAGGAAAGGUCCCUUGUCUUAUAGGAGGAGCAAGUGCAAAAUCAUAUGGCUAAGGACAAGGACACCGGAAGGGGUAAAGACUUGCACAAUGAGCAAAUUACAGUGGCAUUCUUUGCUUCUCUCUGAUUCUAAUGAAAAGGAUUCCAUCAGAAAUGAUUGUGUAUCUCAGCUUGAAUAAUUAUAUAUACAAUACACACACACACAUAUACAUGUACAGGUGUAUACACACACACACAUAAUGUAUAUGUAAAUAUAUAUGUAAAAAUUCAAACUAAGGAAGUUCCAUGUUGUCUCAGUUUAUGAAGAGUUUUUAAUCAGGAAUCAUAGUUGAAUUUUUAUCAACUACCUUCCCAGAAUAUAUGGAGAAUUAUAUGGUUUUCUUAGUGAUGAUGGAUAUUGUGAAUUAUAUUAAUUGAUCCACUCACAGAGAGCCAUCCUUGCAUUAUGGAAUAAUGGUGGUGGCAUAUUAUCCUUUUAAAACACAUUUGUGUUCUCUUGGCUAGUAUUAUUUUUUAGAAUUUUGCAUUUACACUGUCUUAAAGACAGGACUAUAGUUUAUUGGUGGUGCUCUUUUUUUGGAUUUUGCUUUUGCCGUUAUACUGGAUUCUUUGAUUCAUUUAAAAGUCCUUUCCCACUCUCCAUGGUGUUUGGGAAUACUUUAAAUAGCAUUGCAGGUAUCUGUUUCUUGAACUUGUGAUAGAUUUUACCUGGGAAGCUGUCUGGGUCUGGUACUUUAGUGGAUAGUGGCUCUUUGACAACAUUCCCAAUUUCCUCUCUGGUAACUGGACUGUUUAGAUUUCCUAUCUAUUACAAAAUUAGUUUUCAUCAUUUAUAUCUCUAGAAAAUCACCCAUUUUGUUCAUGUUUCAAACCUGUUUUCAAAACCGAGUAAUGUUAUCAUUCUUUGAAUUUCCUCUCUAUGUGGUUAUUUCCCCAUUUUCAUUUCUAAUGAUAUGUGUUUGUGCUUUGUUUCUUGAAUAGUUUCGCUAGAGAUUUAUUUGUUUCGUUUUUCACAGAUAGGUUCAAGGUCCAGUUCUAGCUUUGACUCCCUGAAUGGCCUGUGUAUACUCUGCCCUUUUGAAACCUCAGGGAAGUGUCCAGACUCCUGAUCUCAGCACAUAAACCUUUCAUCUGGCCCUUGGUGUUGGUCUUGCUGAACUCUUUGCAAAUUUAUCCAAUUCCAAUGUUUCCUUCGGCCUUCAGACCCUUGGAUGUUCUGUUCCUGGUGCCUGAAAUGCCUGUCCUUUCUCUCAACCCCCACUCAUCAAACUCCUACUCAUCCUUAUGGACUUAGCCCUGAUGCCCUUUUUCCUAGAUAUGCGGGUUUCUGCUGCCCUGUCUCAGCAGGGUCCUCCACCUCUGGGCUCCUCUCCCAACUGCUGAGCAUGUCUGCUCACUUGUCUGAUUGACCCACUGGAUGUGAGAGCUUUGAAAGAGGAGGUCUGCAGUCUCCAGCAUUGUACCCCCAGCUCCCAGCAUGGGGCCUGGCAAUGAAUCGCAGGCAGGCAGCGUUUGUGGAAGAAAGACAGGAAGGCUGUAGAUACAAACUAUACAACAAACACAUCCGGGAUUCUCACAGGGAUUUUCCCUGUUGGCAUACACUCUGCUCCCAGCCCUCCUGGGAACAGCUGAAAUCCGGGGCUGUAAUUCUUACACCAGUUAUAUUGAAAUAUUCGAUGUCUAGAGAACAGCGUUUGCUCAGCGCUUGGCUUAGGGGCUGUCAGCACCCCUGCUCACAUGCUUCCGCACUUCUGAAGCUGCAUUUGUCAGCUCCAGCUCACAGGCCUGGCUCUUACGUGGGGAGCCUUGCUUGUUGCUACAGCAGACUUUCCUGAUGGACCCCUGGGGCUGCCACAUUUCCUGGCCUUCCAUCAAAUCCAACACAUAUUUUUAAAACACCUACUUUGCACCCCGCGCUCUGCUAUAACAUGGUGUCCUCCCUGCUGAGGGGACACUGAGGGGAGAGGAGUGGGCUGGAGGACAGAGUGUAAGUAUAGGGGAGAGACUGCUGUGGCUGCAGAGACCAGUCAGGGUAGGACCUGGGCCUGGGCCUUCUCUCCUGACUCAUCUUGAGCUAAUCCUUGAUGCUUGGCCUUCAUGGUUGUUUCACCCCAUUCCUUCUGAUGGGUGAUUCCCAGGCCUUACUGAUCACUCAUUAUUAUGAAUACUUCUCUUCAAGCCACAGAGGGCAAGUUGGCCUUUAGCCUAAGGGAAAUGGAGAUGCAUCAAAGGGUUCUUUGCGGGGAGUAAGAGGAUCAGAUUUGGGUUUAGGAAGAUCACACUGGCUGCUGAUGGAGAGAGGGUUGGAGGAGGGAUGGAGGAGGCAGGGAGACACCAGGCCGCCUCAGUCUUCUCUAGGAGAGACAUUGACAGCCUGCAGCACGGUGGGGCAGCAGGGAGAGAGGAGGGGAGGGAUUCAAAGGGUGACUGGGAUGGAUGCCCCAUUCCUGGUGGGUAGUGAGUGCAGAGGGAGAGGGAGGCAUCAAGGCUGACACUGAAGGGGGCUGGGGAGGAGAUGGACCCCCGCAGAGGUAAGGAAUGUUUUGGUGAACACUGGCCUCCUCCAAGGAUGCUUGCCUGCCUCACAUUUUCUGAAAGCCAUAGCUACCAAAUACAUAGUAAUUUUCCUCGAUACUGGGAAGUAAAAGGGACAUCUUCCCCAUAUCUAGGUUACGAAUGUCACAUCUUCUGUGCUGUAGAUCCAUGAAGGCCAGGGCCAUUUGUGAGCACAGAACCCAAGUUUCCUUUGUACCGUGACCCAACCUACAUCUGCUAAGUUCCUCCUGGUGACUGGCUUAGGCAGCAUCUUCACACUCCAGCAAUCCCAUUAGUAAACUUCCUUGGGGGUAUGGUACUCUCUGAUACGUGGAGAGAGAUAGACAGAGAGAGUGCUCUGAAAUCACAGAAGACAGAGUAUCCAGACCGGGGGAGGGGAGCGAGGCUUUAUAGAGGUCUUGUCAUAUGUGUACAAGUGUGCCAAGGAGAUGGGGGAUGAAGAAAGAGCAUUCUACAGAUGGAAAAACAGGAGCUCAAGCACAGAGUGGGUCCAGAGAACAUGGAGAGGGUAGAAAGGGAAUGACUGGAGAUGAGAUUGAACCAGAGGCUGUGGAAAGAUCAUCAAGGGCUAGAAUGCCACACUCCAGAGGUUGAACUUACCUUCAAAGCAUAAAUCAGUUUCCUUUUGUAUGUCAUCUUCAUCUGAUUGAUAGUGGUUGCCCGGAUCUCGUGCUAAGGAGGAUUCUGCUGUGGAUUCAGGGGGGAAGAGCGACACAAUCCCUAGUGAUGCCUGCUCUGGCUUCAGGAGCGGAGCUGGCAGUCUGUGUGUGGGGAUCUGCCAUCUCUGUCGUAAGAGAUGAAGAGCCACUGGAGGGAGGUGGAGGGUGGGGUUGAGGAGUGAGAGCUAAGAAUGUGCAUUGGAGAAGAUCAGCUGGAAGUUCUGGGGAGCAUGAGUUGCUGGAAGGACAGACUAAGGCCAUGCUGCCAAUGAGCCAGCAGUGAAUUUUAAAAUAUCCAAGGAACGAAUGAACUACCAAGUGUCUGCAAAGCGAAGGGUAGACCUUAUUGUAGCUGCUUCUGUAAUGAGGGCGUGCAGGAGGAAUAAAGAAUUUCAGCACAAACACUGUCAGUCUCCCUCUCCCCUUCAGCAAAAAUACCCAGGGUAAAAAAAGACACACACACACACACACACAUACACACAAAGCAAUGACCCCACAGAGGGGCACUUUCUCCCUCUCCUUCCCUGCUCCCUGUGAAGUCAGUGCAUAAUUACCGGAAAGCAUUUUUGACUGAAUUUUAGAUGAGCAUUUUGACAAAAUAUAAUAUUGGAAACAAUCUUUAUCAAACAUUCAUGUGUCGUGUGAGAGAUAAAGCCCAGAAUCCAUAAUUCAUAUGGCGUGUGUAUUACCAAGUGUGCAUGAGAGGCUGAAUUUCAAUGAGGCAGCCUGAACAAUAUUUUCUGCCAGACGCAGGCUUUCAUCAUUUACAUUAUUCACUAGGUUUUCCAGAACAGUAAAUCUUAAAUAUAUAUUUGUGUUGGGAAGAGCUCUUGUGCGUGUCUGUGUACACACAGAGGGACGCACACCCGUUUGGGCCCAGAAUUGGCGGAUGCACGUUCCAGCUGGAAGGGCACGCGGUGACAGCAGGGAGGCUCGGCACACAGGGUUCCUUCUGGAGGACAGCCCACGUCACCAUGGACUCCACGGCUCGCUGCACAGGCAUUAAAUCCACCCACCCUGUCGUCUCUUUCUUCAGACCCAUCCAGCAUCUCACUUGGAACCUUAAAAGGAAACAGGACCCAGAGCAAGGGCAUUGCCAUUGAGGCCUAAGAGCAGGGCUACUCAAAGUUCAUUGGCUGGACUGGUCAGGCAGGAAUUGUCCGUAUGGCUAGAGUUCAAGAUUGGAAUGAACUUAAAUUCCUUCAACAACAGCUUCAACCAUUGGUGGGACAGUCUCUGCAUGCAGACCUUAGAGGUGGGGAGCUCAACCCCUUCAGAGAGUGAUGCGAGUCUAUCUCCUGUGAGUCAGAUGGCUCAAAGGGUCUUCCUUCGAUUGAGGUGAAAUUUGUCUUAUAAUUAUUGCCCACAGUGGCUGGGCUGGCCCAUGGGAUCCCGCAGAACCAGUAUGCUUCCCAGAGCACAGGAUGGCCCUUCAGAACUCUGAGCACUGCAUCACGCCCCUGGAACCUUCUUUUUCCUGGCCUUUGUUCCGCUGGCUUAUCCUCACCUGGCUUAUGAGGUGGGUGCAGACAUGCACCACCCAGACUCUCCUCAGGACAGAGGAGCUGGUUCUCCCGCUGCCAAGAGUGUUGCCUGUAAACAGCUCAUGCUGCCCCCCUUAGAGGUUGGGGCUCCCUCGUCCAGCCAAGGGCCUCUGGGUCCCCCAUCAAAGCAGCCAUGAGCGGAUGUCCCAAAUGACCUCCACUCCAAGAGGCAAGUAAUAUUGAUGAUUCCAGAACCCUAAAUAAUGCUGAGACUGGUCCAGGUAAAACACUACUCCCUUUCACCUAAAAAGAAAAGCCGCUUUAGUUUUCGGUCUGUCUCCUUUGUCAGGACCAAGGAGUCUCUCCCUAGGGCUUUACAGGAUGGAUAGAAUGUGCUGGGAGAUAGCAUGAGAAAAAGAUUGUGUAUAUAUAUAUAUAUAUGACUGGAUUGCUAUGCUAUACAGCAGAAAUUGACACAACACUAUAAAUCAACUAUACUCUAAUAAAAUAAAAUAAAAUUUAAAAGUACUUAAACUUA
rnacentral:lncRNA from 1 species